CUGGGAUGUGCCGGGUCCCAGGGAUCCUGUGCCCGGUGUUUGGUCCAUGGCUUGGCAGUGCGAGAGGUGGCUCAUGAUUCCAUAAAGUCCUCAGUGCUGAGCCGAUCCUGGCACCGUGACUUUGAACCUCCAGGAUGGCCUCGGCCAGAUGCCACUUCCUCCAGACCUUCCCUGACACCCUGACUCCAGCUCUUCUCUGCUCCCUUCCUGCUCCCGCGUGUGGUGGCUCCCAACAAGAGGAGCCUGUCCUCACGUUCUCUCUAGCAUUCCGACCCGAGGGCAGGGACUUGGUUUGUCUGGCGCCCACCCCCUUGGUGCCUGGCACAGAGCCUGCCACGUGGCAGGCGCCCCUAAGUGUCUGCUGGUGGCAGAACAAGCCGCCUACUGUGUGCCAGGUGCCGAGCUUCCUAAGCGCCCAGCCCUGAUGUCUCGCUGAAGCUCCCGAGGGGGUGGGGAGCCCUCCACAGGCACACGCAGUGCG